ensembl:misc_RNA Metazoa_SRP Metazoan signal recognition particle RNA
GCCUGGCGCAGUGGCGUGUGCCUGUAGUCCCCGCUACUCGGGAGGCUGAGGCUGGAGGAUCACUUGAGCCAGGGGUUCCAAGCUGUAGUGCGCUAUGCCGAUUGGGUGUCCACACUAAGUUCGGCAUCAAUCUGGUGACCUCCCGGGAGCGGGGGACCACCAGGUUGCCUAAACAGGGGUGAACCGGCCCAGGUUGGAAAUGGAGCAGGUCAAAACUCCCGUGCUGAUCAGUGGAGGGAUUGCGCCAGUGAAUAGCCACUGCACUCCAGCCUGGGCAACAUACCGAGACCCCGUCUCUU